rnacentral:lncRNA from 1 species
AUUUGAUAGUAGAAGAUUCACGAAUUGAGAAACCCCUAACCCUACUGCUACAGAGAGAAAAACAAAGGGAAGAAGAAAGAGGUGUGGUAUUAGCGGUGGCUUUAAGAACAAAAUAUCUUACAACUAAUGGCUUAUUUUUUGGAUUGAUUUUAAGGUGUUUUGAAGCUGUAAAUUGGUGAUUUUGAGGGCUGAUGUCAGCAAGUUUUGGGGACGUUUUGGGGCUAGAAUUUGCUGUAUUUUUCAGUGAUUUUA